rnacentral:rRNA from 1 species
UACAGAGGUGGCAAGCGUUGUUCGGAAUUACUGGGCGUAAAGGGCGCGUAGGCGGCUUGGUCAGUCCCGUGUGAAAUCCCUCGGCUCAACUGAGGAACUGCACGGGAAACUGCCUGGCUUGAGUUCGGGAGAGGGAAGCGGAAUUCCGGGUGUAGCGGUGAAAUGCGUAGAUAUCGGAAGGAACAUCAGUGGCGAAAGCGACUUCCUGGACCAGUACCGACGUUCAGGCACGAAAGCGUGGGGAGCAAACAGG